CGGGCAGCUACGGUCAUCGGGUUCCAGCGGUUUCGGGAAGCCGGUGCAAGUCCGGCGCGGUCGCGCCACUGUGAGACCCGAAAGGGUCGAGUCAGACCCCGAUGCCGUCCGGCUCCG
rnacentral:ncRNA from 2 species